UUCCAUUGAGGGAUCCCUAUUUUUGGCCACUUUUAGAGAUAUAUAGGCCCACACAAUUAGAUCUGUCAUUUAAUGAGGUUGGAUGACUGAGAUUAAAACAAAAAGUUACACACUUUAUAUCAAACCUGGACCAAGAUCAUUAAAAAUAAAUCGAAGUUUUGAAUGGGUUAACGAUCACUAAAUUAUCUGAAAAUUUAUAAAAAUGAUCUACUCAUAUAACUCAAUGAAUUAAACGGUGUAGAUGCAAAAAUUUGAUCAGAAAGUUGAUAUAAUACUCUAUCUCUAGAAAUAAUCAAAAAUAUAGAUCCCUGAAUAGAAGGGCUCUCUAUAUAUAUAUUCGACUCUCUUGGGCACAUCUUGAAGAAGUUGGCGGGAAAGGCGGAAAGCUUCCCAAAUUGGAUGGACCACAUAAUCAAAGUGGGUGGAUUGGGCCCUAAGCGGGCUUGGGGAAGCCUUUUUUUGGCGGGCUGGGCGAAACCUAGGCAGGCUGGUACAGACUAUAAUCUUUGUUCUGGGAAUUUCCCACUCUCACUCCCCUUGAUUCAUUUGAGGUAUGUUGUAUUCUUGUUCACUACUGUAGUUCUAAUGAAUUGAUUAUGGACUUAUGGGUGAAUUUGGCAAUGGGAUUUUAUCUGAUUGUUGCCCACUGGACUCUUUUUGGCCUAUUUAUGAUCCUUACAAACAUCACAACAUUGGAAAAGCUAUCAAUCUUUUUCAUCAUCUGCUUCUCUAUUUGGUUUGAGCUAUUUUUCAUGAGAUAUCCGAAUCUUCUUUGUGCUGAAUUUACCAAUCAGAUGAUUCAAUUCUGGUUUUGGUGGAUUGACUUCUUUGCAUAUAAUCUGGGUCUCUAUCAGGGUAAGAAUAUCAUACAUUUACUUACUUCCUUCAAUCAAAGUGACCAGAGAUAUAGGCAUAUAGCUGUGCUGGUAUAAUGUUAAAGCUCAAGGUGUUCAUGUGCUUACUAGUGUUCGAUCUUUCACUGGGUAACCCACUUUCUUCCUUAAUUCUUGAGCUUUUUUGUUAUCCCUGAACCCAGAGAGUAUCAUGGAUAGAAUUACUAUUCUUUAGUUAAUUUUUCCCUUAAAACUCUUUGCUCUUGUUAUAUUUGCAACUUUUGGACGAUUUUUAUGUGCUCAAUUCAACUGGUUAUAGAGUAUGCCAUGGGUGGGAUAUUUUCCGAAAAGUCUGUGACCAACAGCUAGGCUUCCUUGCCUAUGUAAGUUUUUUAUACUCUAAAGUCUAAAUCCUAAUUUAAUAGUUGUUUACAGCUUUAACAGCAAUGUAUGGGACUAUUUCAGGCAUGGAACUUGUGGAAUGAAGGCUGGGCGUUGGAGUUGGUAGAUGAAGUAUUAGGUGAUAUAUAUUCCUCAUCAGAAGUAAUGACUUGAGUCCCCUGCUCUCACUUCCCUCUAACUCCUCUCAGGUAUUUUCAGUUCUUGUUUCAGUUAAUGUAAAUUGAGCAUUGCCAUAUUGAUUUUUUAAGUAAUUUCAGGUAGCAUAUUCCAGUUCUUAGUACCAUUUUUUUUAAUUCUUUUCCUUGCAUGUAAUCUGGGCCUCUCUCAAGAUGACAGUACAGUUAUUUUGCUUCCUUCACUUAAACUUCAAUUCUUUUCUUAAUUCUACAUCAUGUCCUUGGUUGAAAAUCUAAAAGCGACCAAAGAAGAUGGUGACAUGUGGACUGUAUCAAUGUCUGUUUCGUAACAAUGUUACAGCUCAAGGUAUUC
rnacentral:lncRNA from 1 species